UGGUUCCGGCAUCGAUGAAGAACGCAGCGAAAUGCGAUAUGUAAUGUGAAUUGCAGAUUUCAGUGAAUCAUCGAAUCUUUGAACGCACAUUGCGCCCCCUGGCAUUCCGGGGGGCAUGCCCGUUCGAGCGUCAUUUCUCCCUAGCUUCGGCUGUGUUGGGCGACGUGUAGGCAUAAUGCUUAUACGGGCCUUAAAUUCAGGGGUGCUCUAGGUGCACGGUAGAGAGCGUAAGACGCACUCGAAUCCCACUGGACCACCAAAACUUGAACUAAGCUCUAGUGGUUUUAUCCCAGCGAUAAGGCUGCUCCAGUCAAGUUCCGCCAACAUUUGACCUCGAACGGGUAGGAUCACCCGCUGA
rnacentral:misc_RNA from 1 species